rnacentral:rRNA from 1 species
GACGAACGCUGGCGGCGUGCCUAAUACAUGCAAGUAGAACGCACAGUUUAUACCGUAGCUUGCUACACCAUAAACUGUGAGUUGCGAACGGGUGAGUAACGCGUAGGUAACCUGCCCGGUAGCGGGGGAUAACUAUUGGAAACGAUAGCUAAUACCGCAUAAUAUUGAUUAUUGCAUGAUAAUUGAUUGAAAGAUGCUAUUGCAUCACUACCAGAUGGACCUGCGUUGUAUUAGCUAGUAGGUGAGGUAACGGCUCACCUAGGCGACGAUACAUAGCCGACCUGAGAGGGUGAUCGGCCACACUGGGACUGAGACACGGCCCAGACUCCUACGGGAGGCAGCAGUAGGGAAUCUUCGGCAAUGGACGAAAGUCUGACCGAGCAACGCCGCGUGAGUGAAGAAGGUUUUCGGAUCGUAAAGCUCUGUUGUAAGAGAAGAACGGGUGUGAGAGUGGAAAGUUCACACUGUGACGGUAUCUUACCAGAAAGGGACGGCUAACUACGUG